rnacentral:lncRNA from 1 species
UCUUACAGUGGCUAAAUAAAAAAGCAUUGCACAAUCUCAAUCAAAUAAUGGACUAAAAAAGUCAUCACAUAAUCUCUAAAAUAGACUCACUGUAUGCAAGCAUUCAUAGUCAGUUGUUACUUGGGUAAUUUCACACUAUAUUUAUAUGCUCAAACAAGAAUCCAGCACCAUAGUCCAUUAUAUUUGGUCUUGUAGCACUGGUUGCCAACGUCUUUGGCUUAUCAACCAUAUCUCAUCGCCUAGUUCGCACAACAACCUUGCUGGACUGAGUGAAGGAGAAGAAAAGGAAGAGAGGUCAUCGGCUUUUCCUCAUCCACCUUAACCCUUUAUCAUGGCUACCUUAAUGAAGAACCAAAAUCAAUAUGAGAGUAGGAGCCCGAUUCAUAACCAUCAUGAGCCGUCGCUCGAGUAAGAACCCGAAUCUGAGCCACCGUGAAGGUUAAGGUUUCAUUAUUGAGAACCACCGCAAACUAGCAUCAUUGUCGCACCGGAGGGAUGGAGAAGAAGAAUUUCACGGAUGAUCCCCUUUCUUACUGCCAUUAAUCAGAGAAAAGAGGGUGAGAGGAUGGUGAAGAUUUCAACCCAUUUU